rnacentral:rRNA from 1 species
AGAGUUUGAUCAUGGCUCAGGAUGAACGCUGGCGGCAUGCCUUACACAUGCAAGUCGAGCGGCAGCGCGGGGGCAACCCUGGCGGCGAGCGGCGGACGGGUGAGUAAUACAUCGGAACGUGUCCUUUCGUGGGGGAUAACCAGUCGAAAGACUGGCUAAUACCGCAUGAGAUCUCACGAUGAAAGCGGGGGACCGCAAGGCCUCGCGCGAUUGGAGCGGCCGAUGUCGGAUUAGCUAGUUGGCGGGGUAAGAGCCCACCAAGGCGACGAUCCGUAGCUGGUUUGAGAGAACGACCAGCCACACUGGGACUGAGACACGGCCCAGACUCCUACGGGAGGCAGCAGUGGGGAAUUUUGGACAAUGGGGGCAACCCUGAUCCAGCCAUGCCGCGUGUGUGAAGAAGGCCUUCGGGUUGUAAAGCACUUUCGGCCGGAACGAAAUCGCGCGAAUCAAUAACCCGCGUGGAUGACGGUACCGGAAGAAGAAGCACCGGCUAACUACGUGCCAGCAGCCGCGGUAAUACGUAGGGUGCGAGCGUUAAUCGGAAUUACUGGGCGUAAAGGGUGCGCAGGCGGUUCCGCAAGUCAGGCGUGAAAUCCCCGGGCUUAACCUGGGAAUGGCGCUUGAAACUACGGGACUGGAGUAUGGCAGAGGGAGGUGGAAUUCCACGUGUAGCGGUGAAAUGCGUAGAGAUGUGGAGGAACACCGAUGGCGAAGGC